rnacentral:rRNA from 1 species
GAUGAACGCUGGCGGCGCGCCUAACACAUGCAAGUCGAACGGCACCCCACCUCGGUGGGAAGCGAGUGGCGAACGGCUGAGUAACACGUGGAGAACCCGCCCCCUCCUCCGGGAUAGCCUCGGGAAACCGUGGGUAAUACCGGAUGACGCCCGGACGACGCAUGUCGCCCGGGCCAAAGCCCAGACGGGAGGGGAUGGCUCCGCGGCCCAUCCGGUAGACGGCGGGGUGAAGGCCCACCGUGCCGACGACGGGUAGCCGGGUUGAGAGACCGACCGGCCAGAUUGGGACUGAGACACGGCCCAGACUCCUACGGGAGGCAGCAGUGGGGAAUCUUGCGCAAUGGGGGGAACCCUGACGCAGCGACGCCGCGUGCGGGACGAAGGCCCUAGGGUCGUAAACCGCUUUCAGCAGGGAUGAGACAAGACGGWACCKGMAGAA